AGUGAACGCUGGCGGUAGGCCUAACACAUGCAAGUCGAACGGCAGCACAGUAAGAGCUUGCUCUUACGGGUGGCGAGUGGCGGACGGGUGAGGAAUACAUCGGAAUCUACUUUUUCGUGGGGGAUAACGUAGGGAAACUUACGCUAAUACCGCAUACGACCUACGGGUGAAAGCAGGGGAUCUUCGGACCUUGCGCGAUUGAAUGAGCCGAUGUCGGAUUAGCUAGUUGGCGGGGUAAAGGCCCACCAAGGCGACGAUCCGUAGCUGGUCUGAGAGGAUGAUCCGCCCCACUGGAACUGAGACACGGUCCAGACUCCUACGGGAGGCAGCAGUGGGGAAUAUUGGACCAUGGGCGCAAGCCUGGUCCAGCCAUACCGCGUGGGUGAAGAAGGCCUUCGGGUUGUAAAGCCCUUUUGUUGGGAAAGAAAAGCAGCAGGUUAAUACCCCGCUGUUCUGACGGUACCCAAAGAAUAAGCACCGGCUAACUUCGUG
rnacentral:rRNA from 1 species